GACGGAGUCUCGCUCUGUCGCCCAGGCUGGAGUGCAGUGGCGGGAUCUCGGCUCACUGCAAGCUCCGCCUCCCGGGUUCACGCCAUUCUCCUGCCUCAGCCUCCCAAGUAGCUGGGACUACAGGCGCCCGCCACUACGCCCGGCUAAUUUUUUGUAUUUUUAGUAGAGACGGGGUUUCACCGUUUUAGCCGGGAUGGUCUCGAUCUCCUGACCUCGUGAUCCGCCCGCCUCGGCCUCCCAAAGUGCUGGGAUUACAGGCGUGAGCCACCGCGCCCGGCCCAUAUGUUGAAAUCUUAACCCCCAAUGUGAUGAUAUUAGGAUGCGGAGCCCUUGGGAGGUCGUAAGCAUGGAGCCCACGUGAGUGGGAUUAGUGCCCUUAUGAAGAGAUCCCAGCCCUCUUUCUGCCAUGCGAACACACAGCAAGAAGAUGCCUGUCUAUGAACCAGGGGGCCCUUACCAGAAACAAACCUACUAGCAUCUUGAUCUCGGACUUUCCAGUUCCCAUAACCAUGAGAAAUAAAUGUUUUUAAUUCAAUGUAUGGUAUUUUAUUAUAGCAGCUCUACCUAAGACAGUACAUGUAUAGUGUCUAUUUGAACAUUACUGAUAAUGUUGAACAACUUUUCAUGUUUAUUAGUUAUUAGGUUUCUUCAAGUGUUCUUAUUCAUACAAAUUUUAAAAUAUGUACACAAGUUCUUUGUUAUAUAUUUUGCAAAUAUCUUCUGUGGCUUGUCUUUUCACUAUUUUAGUUCUGUCUUUUGAUAAACAGGAGCUUUUAAUUUUUAUGUCAAAUCUAUCAAGCUUUUUCUUUUUGAUUUAUGUUUUUUAUGUCUUAUUUGAGAAAUCCUUCUAUACCCCAAGAUCAUGAGGAUGUUUCCUGUGUUCUCUUCUGAAAGCUAUAUAGUCUUUGUCAUUUAGGUUUAUCUUUAUACGUGGUAUGAAGUGUAAAGUUCUACUUUUAAUUUUUUGCAUAUUUUAUUAGGAUAGGAUGGGCUUUUUCUGUAGUAAUAAUCCUUAAAUCUCAGGGGCUUAAUAUAUAAAAUUGUCUCAUGCAAAAAACCACUGGGUCUAGGGCAAUUGCUAUCUACUGCCGUCUAAUCUCCCUCUAGUGGCUUCCAUUGGUAGACCCUAACAGGAAGCCAGCUGAUAAGGGAAUCUGGGAAAUGUAGUUUACAGAGUGGCAGCUACAGUAGAACAGUAGAGACUACAAGGAUGAGCUUGCAGCUGAGAAUAGAAACGUGACUGGCACACUAGGUGGUUUGUUUGUAGGUUUUUUCUUUUCCUGUUUGAGACUUUUUUGGAUUCUUGAAUUUGUACAAUGGUAUCCUUAAUCAAUUGUGGAAAAUUAAAUGAUUUUUUCUUUC
rnacentral:lncRNA from 1 species